UAAGGGGAGGGAGUGGGCAGUACUUCUUGAGGGAGAGAGUUCGCAGACCAGAUGAGGAAUCAUUAAUCCACAAAUUUGAGAUCAGCAAGCUGAAAGAUUCUAAAGUAUGUUUACCAUGAUAAGGCAGAUAAAAGGGGAGCCCUGUGGCCGCUCAAGCUGAACAUAAAAGCAGCCAUCCCAGCCUGGAGCCCAGGUAGAAUCCAAGGGACUCUGAAGGAGUACACAAAAUAACCCACUUGGAAAACUUCAGGCAUAGCUAAGACUACAAGAACUAACUCAGCACGAAACAACAAAAUAACAACCCAAGGAAAGAAGUGAAUUUUUCAAAGACAUUUGUCUGUCAUCAAAGCAUUCCUCACCUGGUAACACAUGUGAUAUGUUCAUGGAGUCUGUCAACUGUGUCCAUCAUGGUCCAGAUUCUAGAAAAUGACUGGUGAAUAAGACAAAGCUCCAGCUUUCAUGAAGAUUAUACUGUAAUUGGCCAGGCAGAAAAGAAGUAACAUGAAUAAGAAAAGAAUUUUUGUGAAGAAAGAGUUGCUGGAAUGGGGAAGUGCACGCAGAUCAUGGGGCUGGGCAAAGGUCCGAAGUCUGGAUGCGGCACGAAGUCCAGAGGUUUUGAAAGGUGGUGUCUUGCGAUUCCAGUCCUCUGCUGAUGCCCUGGCUUCUGGCUUUUAUUAAGGUGGUUGUAGCUAGCAGCUUGUCACUGUGUUGACUCCCCAGAUUCUCUUAGUAUCCAGUGUGUUCGGCCUCCCAACUUUUCCAACACUUUAAGACUGGUUCCCUACACAAACUUGUAGGUCUUUGGCCAUUGGACAGAGACUACAUUUUUCUCUAGUGAACACUGGUGAAUGCA